UACGGGGGGGGCAAGCGUUGUUCGGAAUUACUGGGCGUAAAGGGCUUGUAGGUGGCCAACUAAGUCAGACGUGAAAUCCCUCGGCUUAACCGGGGAACUGCGUCUGAUACUGGAUGGCUUGAGUUCGGGAGAGGGAUGCGGAAUUCCAGGUGUAGCGGUGAAAUGCGUAGAUAUCGGGAGGAACACCGGUGGCGAAGGCGGCGCUCUGGACCGAGACUGACGCUGAGGCGCGAAAGCGUGGGGAGCAAACAGG
rnacentral:rRNA from 1 species